rnacentral:sRNA from 1 species
ACCAAGGGCUGCCAGGCAGAGGCCGACCGUGCUGAAGUGAGUCGCUUUGCCAAGAACUUUCUGCCGAUCCUUUUCAACCUGUAUGGGCAGCCCGUGGCAGCCGGGGACACUCCAGCCCCUCGCCGGGCUGUGCUGGAAACCAUCAGAACUUACCUCACCAUCACUGACACUCAGUUGGUGAACAGUCUCCUGGAAAAAGCCAGUGAGAAGGUGCUCGACCCUGCCAGCUCUGACUUUACCAGAUUGUCUGUCCUGGACCUGGUCGUGGCCUUGGCUCCGUGUGCUGACGAAGCCGCCAUCAGUAAGCUAUACUCCACCAUCCGGCCCUACCUAGAGGUGAGCCUCGGCGGCCAGGAGCCCCAUACAGCCACGCUUGGGGGCAGAUGGGCUGUGGGAAGGUGGAGCCUGUCUUCCUGUCUUUGUCCCUUGCUGCUUCCCAAGAUCAGGUCCCUGUCUGCUUUCUCCUGCAGUGGCUUCCCUUUGUGUCCUGUGUAGCCCAUCUGUCUUGCAGGUCCCAAAGGGACUGAAAUGCACAGCUGUGCUUAGGCCUUGCCUGCUGAGUGACUCUUGUAGAACCAAGGCCAUGCUCCUUUGCCUGGCUCAUUCCGCAGGCCCAUCCCAGACCGGCCUGAGCUUUAUCCCACCCAGUCCACUCUCCUCUACUCCUGCUGCAGCCUCCUUCAGCUGCCUUAAGCCUCCCUGAUAUAACAGGCCCCGUCUGUGCCUUUGCAGGGUUUGGGUCCUCAGCUUGAAAUGCCCUCUGCUGUGGCCAGCAACCCUGCAGAUCUCAGCCCAGCAGUGACCCCCUGAAAGCUGCCCCCAUUGCCACAGUUUAGUAGCAGUUACCUAACAGUGUGAGAAGUGCUCUGGGGCAGCACUGCAGGUGGACAUGGAAAUCCAGGGCCAGGCCACGUCACCUCAGGAAAGGUGUUGGGGGUUGGGGGAGUGUGACAGAGAGCUGGUUUGGAGGAGCAAGGAGUUGUCAGUCUUGGAAGGAGAGAGAAGAGUGCUCCGGCUAGAAAGAGCAGCAGAUGUGCAGGCCUUGGCGCGUGCCAGGCACCAUGAGCUCAGGCCACUGGAGUGAGCACUGUCCAGAGCUGGGUGAGUGGAGUGGAUUGGUGGGCCCCACGGCACACACCCCCAACCCCUGUGCCUCGCCCAGGAGUUAGCCACUCACUGUCCACAUUCCACUGGUCCUCUGUCAAGCCACAUGAGCCCCCACGGACCCCUGCUCAGAAUCCCUCCAGUGCUGGGGGAUGCUCCGUGGAUAGCAUUGGACAGGGAGUGAGCCCCAGGCCUCCCUCACCGGUUCCUGUCUGCCAGAGCAAGGCCCACGGGGUGCAGAAGAAGGCCUACCGAGUGCUGGAGGAGGUGUGUGCCAGUCCUCAGGGCCCCGGGGCCCUCUUCGUGCAGAGCCACCUGGAGGACCUGAAGAAGACACUGCUGGACUCACUGCGGAGCACCUCCUCACCCGCCAAGAGGCCCCGUUUGAAGUGCCUCCUACACAUCGUGAGGAAGCUCUCAGCUGAACACGAGGAGUUCAUCACUGCCCUCAUCCCAGAGGUGAUCCUGUGCACCAAGGAGGUGUCGGUGGGCGCACGGAAGAACGCUUUUGCACUGCUCGUGGAGAUGGGCCAUGCUUUCCUAAGGUUUGGCUCGAACCAGGAAGAGGCCCUGCAGCGCUACCUCGUCCUGAUCUACCCUGGCCUGGUGGGCGCGGUGACCAUGGUCAGCUGCAGCAUCCUGGCCCUGACCCACCUCCUUUUCGAGUUUAAAGGUCUGAUGGGGACCAGCACAGUGGAGCAGCUGCUGGAGAAUGUGUGCCUGCUUCUGGCCUCCCGCACCCGUGACGUGGUCAAGUCUGCACUGGGCUUCAUCAAGGUGGCGGUGACUGUCAUGGACGUGGCGCACCUGGCCAAACAUGUGCAGCUGGUGAUGGAAGCCAUUGGGAAGCUUUCAGAUGACAUGCGGCGGCACUUCCGCAUGAAGCUUCGGAACCUGUUCACCAAGUUCAUCCGCAAGUUUGGAUUUGAGCUGGUGAAAAGGCUGUUGCCCGAGGAGUACCACAAAGUCCUGGUCAACAUCCGGAAAGCUGAGGCCCGGGCCAAGAGGCACCGAGCCCUGAGCCAGGCUGCCUUGGAGGAGGAAGAAGAGGAGGAGGAGGAGGAGGAGCCCGCCCAGGGCAAAGGUGACAGCAUUGAGGAGAUUUUAGCUGACUCAGAGGACGAGGAGGACAAUGAGGAGGAGGAAAGAAGCCGAGGCAAGGAGCAGCGGAAGCUGGCACGACAGAGGAGCCGGGCAUGGCUGAAAGAGGGUGGUGGGGACGAGCCCCUCAACUUCCUGGAUCCCAAGGUGGCCCAACGAGUCCUGGCCACGCAGCCAGGGCCAGGCCGGGGCAGGAAGAAGGACCACGGCUUCAAGGUGAGCGCCGAUGGCCGGCUGAUCAUAAGGGAGGAGGCAGACGGCAACAAGAUGGAGGAAGAGGAAGGCGCCAAAGGCAAAGAUGAAGAAAUGGCUGACCUAAUGGAAGAUGUGAUCAUCAGGAGUAAAAAGCACCAGAAGCUCAAGCACCAGAAAGAGGCUGAGGAGGAGGAGCUGGAGAUACCCCCUCAGUACCAAGCUGGAGGCUCUGGCAUUCAUCGCCCUGUGGCCAAGAAGGCUAUGCCUGGGGCCGAAUACAAGGCCAAGAAAGCAAAAGGUGAUGUGAAGAAGAAAGGCCGGCUGGAUCCCUAUGCCUACAUCCCCCUCAACAGAAGCAAGCUCAACCGCAGGAAGAAGAUGAAGCUGCAGGGACAGUUCAAAGGCCUGGUGAAGGCUGCCCGGCGAGGUUCCCAGGUGGGACACAAAAACCGCAGAAAGGAUCGUUGACCCUGAGGCCCAGGGCCCCUGGGCUGCCCUGUGGUCCAGUCUGAGGCCCUUUCAGCCCCCAGGCUGCCUUGCCACCAGCUCCAGGUGCUCAAGAUUCUGGCAGAGCCUGGACUCAGGAUGACUUGGAACUAGGGCUUGGCUCUCAGAAGUCCUGGAUUUUGGAAACUCCAAAUGGAAUCACCCUUCAGAGACAUCCCUGGUGCCUGGAGAUGGGAAUGUGGCCUCAGUGCCUCUGAGUAGGUGCCAUGAGGCACCUUUGCUUUCUGCCCAGAGUGGCCAUGAGCACCAGAACAGAUGAUCUCCAUUUCCGCCAGCUGCUUGUAGCCACGUGGCAUCCUGCCUGUGGUCUGGGUGAGAUUUACUGUGACCAGAUGUAGAAUAAAUGUGUCUCAUCCUGCA